CCCGGUGUUUUUGACGAGAUGGCCACACCUGAUCCCAUCCCGAACUCAGCAGUUAAGCAUCUUAGUGCCGAUGAUACUCUUCAAUGGGGAAAGUAGGUAAAUGCCGGGU
rnacentral:rRNA from 3 species